rnacentral:rRNA from 1 species
GUGUGUUCCAGGUAAAUCCGGUUCACUUUAACACUGAGGCGUGACGACGAGGCACUACGGUGCUGAAGCAACAAAUGCCCUGCUUCCAGGAAAAGCCUCUAAGCAUCAGGUAACAUCAAAUCGUACCCCAAACCGACACAGGUGGUCAGGUAGAGAAUACCAAGGCGCUUGAGAGAACUCGGGUGAAGGAACUAGGCAAAAUGGUGCCGUAA